rnacentral:misc_RNA from 1 species
CUGUUGUGUCUCUCUUUUUCUGUUGUUGUUGUGUCUCUCUUUCUUUUGCACAUAAAACCAUUUCGUGGCUUGUCAUUGCAUACAUAUUUGCUGCUGAGAAGUGUGCUUCGUUUUAAAGGUUCUUGCAUUGAAAAAAAUACCUCCAUUUGUGUGUUUGAAAUCUACAUGCAUCUGUGACAAUGAUUGUAUAUGCAGUUGUGAUCACCUCUCCUUAGCAUUUGUUUUGUUAGCAUGUGGGCAUAUAUUAGUUGGAGGAGAUGCUACAAGAUAAUAAUUCUGACGCAUAUAAGAGAAGAGGAUCCAAUGCACUAUGUUUGUUUAUUUUAUUUCUUCAGUUAACGAAUUUUCUUGUAUGAUACCUCAAAGUGGAGAUCAAUAAGCAUUUAAAUGGCUUGUAGUUUAAGUUUUUUCUAUUUUGGGAUUAAAUGGUUUUUUUGUUAGUUAAUUGUAAAAUCUUUAUGGUGUGUUUAGGGUUAUGUUUAUUUGAUAAAAAAAGGCUUUAUUAUUAUUAUUAUUGUUAUUAAUGGACUUUUGGAUCAAAGUGUAAAAGACCAUUAUGAUGUUUCAAUUAUUCUCAUCAAUCAUCCAUGAAGGAAAAUGAAUGGGCCACACAGGAGAUCUAAG